rnacentral:rRNA from 1 species
AGUGAACGCUGGCGGUAGGCCUAACACAUGCAAGUCGAACGGCAGCACAGUAAGAGCUUGCUCUUACGGGUGGCGAGUGGCGGACGGGUGAGGAAUACAUCGGAAUCUACUUUUUCGUGGGGGAUAACGUAGGGAAACUUACGCUAAUACCGCAUACGACCUACGGGUGAAAGCAGGGGAUCUUCGGACCUUGCGCGAUUGAAUGAGCCGAUGUCGGAUUAGCUAGUUGGCGGGGUAAAGGCCCACCAAGGCGACGAUCCGUAGCUGGUCUGAGAGGAUGAUCAGCCACACUGUAACUGAGACACGGUCCAGACUCCUACAGGAGGCAGCAGUGUGGAAUAUUGGACAAUGGGCGCAAGCCUGAUCCAGCCAUACCGCGUGGGUGAAGAACGCCUUCGGGUUGUAAAGCCCUUUUGUUGGGAAAGAAAAGCAGCAGGUUAAUACCCCGCUGUUCUGACGGUACCCAAAGAAUAAGCACCGGCUAACUUCGUG